AAUCUCAACCACAAAGACUCAUCCAAAUAACAUUAUUUACAAAUUACACCUUAUCACUCCCGUACUCAAGCCUAAACACAGCAUCCUUAUCUCUCCUGAGGGGUGGAUUCGUCCUUAUUACUCCCUGAGUUAAUACAGAUGAGUCACGAGAACACACACAGUUUGCUUUCUAAUUUAACUUACUGCGAUGCAUCUCUUUAAAUUUUCAUUUUAUUUGAUCGCUCUGUACAUUAACUUUACUCUUUUUUUUUUGCUUGUUUAAUGAGAUUGUACAUUCUUGUAGUCAUAUUCAGGUCUAUCUUGAAUGAACAGGUAAGCACAUGUUUGAUGAAAUUGAUUACAUCCUAGAGGAUCUAGAAGGGAAAAGUGCUGGAUGCUUUGCUUCCCUCUAUGGUUGCUGAUAGAGGCAGGAGUAGACGACACACAGAUUAAGGAGAAAGAGAAGAGAGGAAGGCAGAAUUCUUUACUGAAAGAGAUUAAUAGUUCCUAAACACUCAGUAUUCUCAAAUAAGAACAACAGAAAAGAAAUAGAAAUAGAAAUAUUAGCUCAAGCUAGCCCAACUAUUGCCACAAACAAAUUCCCAAAAUCAGGCAUACCCCCCUCCUUACGAGGAUUCAUUCUAUAUAGCUGUCUCUAUGCUCAAAUGUCCCUGGAAAUGGUAUCUCCUUAAUUCCUUCUAACAGAAUUAUUCCCUCUUUGAUUACCUUCCAUCUGUCCACUUCUAGAAACAUUCUGCUGUCUCUAUUUCUUCCUAAAUACACCCUUGAAGGCUGGGGCUGAGUAUUGUGUCCCAACAACAUUUUUACCUAUUACCGCUGCUUCUAUCAUUUGUCACCCAUGUGUGUUUUUCCAUGCUCAUGAAACCAGGCCUUCUUGCAUAAUUUUGAUUUUACGAUGAUAGGAGCCUUGGGAGGUAUUCAUCACCAUUACAAUGUCGGGGUCAUUCAAAUGGUACUGGCUGUUUGGUUGAUGAUCUGAUGAGAGAACCACUUCAGUUUUUCCCUCUUGGUUUUGAUCCAAUCAGUUAAGGACACGAGCAAGCAUCUUUUGGUGAUGGGACUAGACAAUCUUGAGAAUUUGAGGUUUGCAAUAUUAUUCUUUAUCAUAUACAGUUAGUUUUAUUUAUCUUCUCCAUCUCUUGCUGGAUUUAUGAUCAGUGGUUUGAUCAAUUUUAUUUGUAAGGACAUAAUGUCAGCAAGGCAAUAUUGACAUGUCGAAGUUGUUCAGCCUCUGUUUUUAAAUUAUUCAAAUUGUUUUAUGAAAAAAAGAUAAACAUUUAUGAAUAAAACCCGAGUGUUAAAGACUCUACAUUUCAGUUGUACAUGAGUAGAAAUUUAGAAGUACUAAUAUCAUAACGAAAUAUUUACGUGGGGAACUUCUGGGAACAUGGCUGUUGAAAUUGAAAGCUUUUUCCAUAGCAAGCAAGUUUUGCUACUUUUCUGGGCUUUAGUAACUUUAGAGAUCAAUUAAGUCACAAGUGGACCACCCCUGUCCCUGCCCCUUGAGCCUGGUUUAAUUAUUCAUUGGCUGAUAAGCAACAACAUAAAUUCCUUUGGUUGUUCCAAGCCAACUACUGGUAACUGUAGAAGUGUUAAAUUUGAAUUGAAUCAAUAUGGGGAGUCUCAACAUCUGAAUAAUAGGCAUGAUGGCCAAUGGAUUUUCAAGGAUCUGCUAAGCUCAUGAUUUAUAUCAGGCAAUAGCACCAACAUUAUGGUGUUAUGUAUAUUUUUAACUUCUCGUUUCCCUGGGACAACACAAUGGUGAGAAGGGCUCUGCUGAGUCUAUGAUUUAUUUCAGGCAAUAGAACCAGCUAUAUGAUGUUAUGUAUAUAUACUUCUCCUUUCCUGGGACGACACAGUGGUGAGAAGGGCUUUGGGAUCACUUGAAGGCACAGGUAAGGUUCUGGAUCUGAAUUGCAAGUUGUGGAGAGUACGUAUCCUUUUGUCAUUGGAAGGCCUUAGGUGGACCCAAAUCCUGAUAUAAGAAGAAUUUUGAGGGAACUUCUCAUCUGCAAUAAUGGAUCUGUGAGAUGGACUUAGUUAGACUGACUGGCAGGGCAAUCUAGUCCUUAAAAAUUCAGUUCUCUUGUACACAAUCCGCUUCAUGCUUUAAUCAGAAGAUUUUGCUUCUUAAUAAGGUCCUUCACAUCCAGCUGCAAAGAGAGCUCACUGGUUUUGGAGGCGAAUCAGAAAGUAUCCUGUUGCUUCCUAGAUGUUUCCAGCGUUGUUAUGCAGCCACAGUUAGCCUCAACAAUUGAACAGAGGUAGUUGGUUUUGAAAGUGGAGCUUGGUCUUCGAAGCAAAUGCUUAGAUGUGUUCUACAUGGGAAAUAAAGACAGACCUUUAAUUAUGGAAGCACAUACUCCGGGACCCAGAGAUCCUUCACCAUCUCACCGGAUGACAAAAAUAGGAACUUAGCUUUCUUCUUUCCUCUCUAGAAGGACAAUGGAGGUGGAAGGAGAAGAUAAGAACUAAUCAGACAGACGAUGUGUCUCUUUCAUUCUCACAGUGAGUUUUCCUCCAUGCAAGGGAACAUUAUUACAAAUUUCUUGUCAAUAUCUUAAGAAUGUGGUCCCUAUUUAAACAAUCGUUUAAAAUAAACAAUUAUAAAAUAUUUUGAUAUAAUUAAAUACUAAUGAAAGAAAACUUUUAUUUUUAA